GAGAGCCAAGAGAUCCGUUGUUGAAAGUUUUUAUUUGUUAUAAAAAUUUUACAUUCAUAGACUAGUGUUUAUAAAGUGAAAUGGCUCACAAUCCGAAAAUUGCUCGCCAUUAAUACAGAUGCACAGGGUUAGAUGUGAGAAGGUCGGGUUCCAAGUUAAAUUGGACACCCUAUUUAUUCACUAAUGAUCCUU
rnacentral:misc_RNA from 1 species